UUGGGGGCGCAACGCCCUC
rnacentral:snRNA from 1 species